CCCAGACUCCUACGGGAGGCAGCAGUGGGGGAUAUUGCACAAUGGGGGGAACCCUGAUGCAGCGACGCCGCGUGGGUGAAGGAGCGUUUCGGCGCGUAAAGCCCUAUCGGCAGGGAAGAAGGAGGACGGUACCUGACUAAGAAGCCCCGGCUAACUACGUGCCAGCAGCCGCGGUAAUACGUAGGGGGCAAGCGUUAUCCGGAUUUACUGGGUGUAAAGGGGGCGCAGACGGCAGCGCAAGCCAGGGGUGAAAGCCCGGGGCCCAACCCCGGGACUGCUCUUGGAACUGCGCGGCUGGAGUGCAGGAGGGGCAGGCGGAAUUCCUGGUGUAGCGGUGAAAUGCGUAGAUAUCAGGAGGAACACCGGUGGCGAAGGCGGCCUGCUGGACUGCGACUGACGUUGAGGCCCGAAAGCGUGGGGAGCAAACAGGAUUAGAUACCCCGGAC
rnacentral:rRNA from 1 species